GUAAGGAAUAUUGGUCAAUGGAGGCAACUCUGAACCAGCCAUGCCGCGUGCAGGAUGACGGCCCUAUGGGUUGGAAACUGCUUUUAUACGGGAAUAAACCUCUCUACGUGUAGAGAGUUGAAUGUACUGUAAGAAUAAGGAUCGGCUAACUCCGUGCCAGCAGCCGCGGUAAUACGGAGGAUCCAGGCGUUAUCCGGAUUUAUUGGGUUUAAAGGGUGCGUAGGCGGCCUAUUAAGUCAGGAGUGAAAGACAGUUGCUCAACCAUCGCACUGCACGUGAUACUGAUGGGCUUGAUUACACAUGAGGUAGGCGGAAUGUGACGAGUAGCGGUGAAAUGCAUAGAUAUGUCACAGAACACCAAUUGCGAAGGCAGCUUACUAAGGUGUCAAUGACGCUGAGGCACGAAAGCGUGGGGAUCAAACAGGAUUAGAAACCCGUGUAGUCC
rnacentral:rRNA from 1 species